GAGUUUGAUCCUGGCUCAGAACGAACGCUGGCGGCGUGCUUAACACAUGCAAGUCGAACGUGAUCCGGAGCUUGCUCCGGUGAAAGUGGCGCACGGGUGAGUAACGCGUGGAUAACCUGCCCUGGUGUCUGGGAUAACAUCUCGAAAGGGGUGCUAAUACCGGAUAAGCCCACGGACUCCUCGGAGUCUGCGGGAAAAGGUGGCCUCUAUUUAUAAGCUACCGUAUCAGGAUGAGUCCGCGUACCAUUAGCUAGUUGGUGGGGUAAUGGCCCACCAAGGCUACGAUGGUUAGUUGGUCUGAGAGGAUGAUCAGCCACMCUGGAACUGAGACACGGUCCAGACUCCUACGGGAGGCAGCAGUGGGGAAUUUUGCGCAAUGGGGGAAACCCUGACGCARCAACGCCSCGUGAGUGAUGAAGGCUUUCGGGUCGUAAAGCUCUGUCAGAGGGGAAGAAAUGAGACUGGCUAAUAUCCAGAUUUCUUGACGGUACCCUCAAAGGAAGCACCGGCUAACUCCGUGCCAGCAGCCGCGGUAAUAC
rnacentral:rRNA from 1 species